rnacentral:lncRNA from 1 species
UUGGAGUUAGGGUUAGUGUUGGAGCUAGGGUUAGGGUUGGGCUUGGAGCUAGGAUUUUUCUGAGUGCAAUGAACCAACUCCCGAGUCUCUAGGACGUUCCUAAAAAAAUUUGAUUUUUUUCCAUAGGAAUGCAUGGGUUAGGGUUAGGGUUAGGGUUGGAGCUAGGGUUAGGGUUAGGGUUAGGGUUGGAGUUAGGGUUAGUGUUGGAGCUAGGGUUAGGGUUGGGCUUGGAGCUAGGAUUUUUCUGAGUGCAAUGAACCAACUCCCGAGUCUCUAGGACGUUCCUAAAAAAUGUGAUUUUUUCCUAUAGGAAUGCAUGGGUUAGGGUUAGGGUUAGGGUUGGAGCUAGGGUUAGGGUUAGGGUUAGGGUUGGAGUUAGGGUUAGUGUUGGAGCUAGGGUUAGGGUUGGGCUUGGAGCUAGGAUUUUUCUGAGUGCAAUGAACCAACUCCUGAGUCUCUAGGACGUUCCUAAAAAAAAUUUGAUUUUUUUCCCAUAGGAAUGCAUGGGUUAGGGUUAGGGUUAGGGUUGGAUCUAGGGUUAGGGUUAGGGUUAGGGUUGGAGUUAGGGUUAGUGUUGGAGCUAGGGUUAGGGUUGGGCUUGGAGCUAGGAUUUUUCUGAGUGCAAUGAACCAACUCCCGAGUCUCUAGGACGUUCCUAAAAAAAUUUGAUUUUUUUCCCAUAGGAAUGCAUGGGUUAGGGUUAGGGUUAGGGUUGGAGCUAGGGUUAGGGUUGGAGUUAGGGUUAGUGUUGGAGCUAGGGUUAGGGUUGGGCUUGGAGCUAGGAUUUUUCUGAGUGCAAUGAACCAACUCCCGAGUCUCUAGGACGUUCCUAAAAAAAAUUGAUUUUUUCCCAUAGGAAUGCAUGGGUUAGGGUUAGGGUUAGGGUUGGAGCUAGGGUUAGGGUUAGGGUUAGGGUUGGAGUUAGGGUUAGUGUUGGAGCUAGGGUUAGGGUUGGGCUUGGAGCUAGGAUUUAUCUGAGUGCAAUGAACCAACUCCCGAGUCUCUAGGACGUUCCUAAAAAAAUUUGAUUUUUUUCCCAUAGGAAUGCAUGGGUUAGGGUUAGGGUUACGGUUGGAGCUAGGGUUAGGGUUAGGGUUAGGGUUGGAGUUAGGGUUAGUGUUGGAGCUAGGGUUAGGGUUGGGCUUGGAGCUAGGAUUUUUCUGAGUGCAAUGAACCAGCUCCCGAGUCUCUAGGACGUUCCUAAAAAAUUUGAUUUUUUCCCAUAGGAAUGCAUGGGUUAGGGUUAGGGUUAGGGUUGGAGCUAGGGUUAGGGUUAGGGUUAGGGUUGGAGUUAGGGUUAGUGUUGGAGCUAGGGUUAGGGUUGGGCUUGGAGCUAGGAUUUUUCUGAGUGCAAUGAACCAACUCCCGAGUCUCUAGGACGUUCCUAAAAAAAUUUGAUUUUUUCCCAUAGGAAUGCAUGGGUUAGGGUUAGGGUUAGGGUUGGAGCUAGGGUUAGGGUUAGGGUUAGGGUUGGAGCUAGGGUUAGGGUUAGGUGUGGGGUUGGAGUUAGGGUUAGUGUUGGAGCUAGGGUUAGGGUUGGGCUUGGAGCUAGGAUUUUUCUGAGUGCAAUGAACCAACUCCCGAGUCUCUAGGACGUUCCUAAAAAAAAUUGAUUUUUUCCAUAGGAAUGCAUGGGACAAAAAAUUUGAAAAAUUUUUUAAGUGCCAACCCAAUUUUUCACCUUCCAGAAUUGUGUUAGGAGCACGUUUCAGGCCACGGGGAGUCUAUAGAACCUAAUUCUGGGGGAAGCUUUUUGAAAAGUUUACUUAGGGUUAGGGUUAGGGUUGGAGCUAGGGUUAGGGUUAGGGUUAGGGUUGGAGCUAGGGUUAGGGUUAGGGUUAAGGUUGGAGCUAGGGUUAGGGUUAGGGUUAGGGUUGGAGCUAGGGUUAGGUUUAGGGUUAGAGCUAGGGUUAGGGUUAGGGUUGGGGCUAGGGUUAGGGUUAGGGUUAGGGUUAAAAGAAGUCAGGGCCUGUUGACAGGAGGGCGCUACAUGUGAUAAAAUACACUUUUGAAGCAUUUCUGCUGCCAUGGAUUCAUGCUUUCUUAUUUUGUGAUGGAAAUAAUGAGCUCAGAGUUCAGUUCACAUGAAUUGAAAUGAACUGGGUCACAUUCAUAAUCAAUUUCUUUUUUCAAAACUAAGUUUAAGGUCCAAAAAAGAAACUAUUUAACAUUCAUCUUUUUCAGCUGUACCUAAAUUCUCGCCUAAGCUUCAAUACCAAACUCUGACAUUUUCCAAACUAAAUGCAUGAUCAAACUUUACUCAAGAGUCACAGAUGAAUAUUGAGUCUACAAGCCAAGAAAAUCCUAUUCCAGCAUGUUUCAUUAAUCAAAUGUGAAAAAAAUCUGCAGCUUUGAAGACAUCAAAACACACAACUAUGAUUUGUUGGAAGAAGAUUCUGCUAAAGAGUCCAACUUUAUCCCGAACACAUGGGAAAAUCAGCUUCAUAAUUAACAAUGAGGACGAGAUGGUUUUUACUUCCUCUGAAAUAAAAGAGCUAAGACUAAAGAAAUACUCAGCAAAGAGACUUCCUCUCCAUUUUCAAAAAGCUGCACCUGACGGAAACCAAACAGGUUUUUGCACAUCAUGGUCCAUCUAUGUGUUCCUGAAGUGAAAGGGUAAAAUGAGGUUAAAAGAGGUUGUAGCGCUGUAGGACCCUUGGAGGCAGAGUCUAUAAAUAGGGGCUGGAUCUCACCUGAGCCUCCCUUUCUGCACUGACACCGGAGUGCACCUGAGUGAGCAGCUGAGCCCAGACUUUGUCUCCUCUAGUGGUCUCUUUAUAUUUGGAAACAUGUUAAAAAGAUUUUCAUGAUUAUUUUACUGCAGCAUGAAAUAACUUGUUUUAAAUUAUAGAGUGACAUUAAGUCAAAGCUUUGUUUAGCAUUUGUGUUAGAUUUUCCACCCUUUGUAUGGGACUAACUCUUGAGAGUGAUCGCUUAGGCAUAUUAGCAGAAAACCAUAGUGAGGCAGUGUUUUAGAUAUUCUUAUUUUAGUUUGACUUCUUUUAAAUAUACUUUUAAAAUGUGAAUUUUAUUGAACAAACUCUACUUGAAGAGCCAACCACUGUUUUUCCCAGACACAUGUCUGUCAUUUUCAUUAAAAUCAUUUUAUGUCUUUUUGAUUUUGAAUAGUUUUAAAGGGAUAUUCCGGCUUAAAAUUAAUUUUGGGUCAAACACACUGUAACACUGAGUUAGACACCCCUUCCAGCUGCUGGAGGAGAGUAGGUGAGUUGUGUUUAGUCUCUUUGCUAAAGAAAUCAGGCAAAGCUAAAAAGAUGUUUGGUGGCUGGGACCCUAUAUGUACUGUUGAUGAAGUUAGGUGCUGUUCUGAGCAUUAUUUGUGGUUAUAGAGUGGCGUUUUGGUUGAGGUUUGUUUAUGGCUCCUCAGACCGCUGUGUAUUGCUAUCGUGCGGUCGUUACUAAAGUUGGUAUAACUAGAGAAGCAAGCAGUCAGCAACAUUCAUCUCUUAAGGGGGUGUCUAAUCCGGUGUUACGGUGUAUUUGACCCUAAAUUAAUUUUAUGCCGGAAUAUCCCUUUAAUCUCUCUUUUUUAAUUUCUUGUGUAUUUCCUUGCAUCUGUAAAGCACUUUAAAUUGCUUUGUGUAUGAAUGGUUCCAUACAAAUAAACUUGCCUUGCCUUUUCAGCAGGUCUGAUCAGGAGAAAAAGCCCUGAAGUUUUCCUGCGUAACUGUGCAAGAGGAUGCAGUUGACAGACUCGCACUCACUGGGUGCAGUUGAUCAGCAAAGGUUUGCUGAUUGUUAAAAGUUUAAAAGUUACAAGACCUUUUGAAUGCCAUCCUCUAUUCCAGCAUCUCAAAAGUUUUGAAUGCUGUUUGACGUAGCUGAUAAAGAGAGACUAACCUGUGCUUGGGAACCAUGAGUGCACUCUAUGUAGUCCUCUCGAAAUGAGUUGCAUUGUUAUCGGGCCUGUGUCAUUGGAAACUGGAGAGGUUUACAGCUAAAACUACAAUAUACUUUUUUGAGGACGUGUUUGCAGAAGGAGACAAGUGACUCCUGUUUAGAAAAAUGAAUCCCCCAAACAACAAUCAGUAUUUCAGGCAUGAGCGCUCUGUUUGAGUUUUCUUAUUUUGCAGAAGUUCACAUCCUUGUGUUUCGACAAAGCACCGACAUUGAAAUUCACAGCGUGCAGUCAAAAAUCCUCGAUUUGAAACAUACUGGAGAGAGUUCCAGUUUCUACAAAAGCGGAUGAAAAACUCAGCGACAGUGCCUGUAAGUCAAAGUUGAAGUGCAGUUUGGUUCAACACUCCAGGAACUUUGUGUGAUACAAUAUUAAUGAUCCAGCAUUAAUAAUGAAUCCAAAAGAAGACGAGAACGUGUUGCUGUUUCACAUCAAUGAGUUGUCGAAGAAGAGGAAUCAUCUAAUGAGAAAUUUCACUCAAAAUUAAACAUAAUGUAAUCAAUUAACCAUCAGUAACCAAUCAUUAAACCCUCAAAUAUUCCCAAAAUAGUCCUUAUCUGAUGGCAAAGCAUCACUUAAAGCCAUAACCCAGUUUUCAGCUCUUCUUUUUGUAUUCUCUUUAUCCUUUUCUAAUCAAAUGCUUGACAGCAGAGAGCGUGGCUGUUUCCGUUGCAGUUUGUCUUGUACAAUAGCGGGCGUACAGUAUCAGAGGCCUAAAAUGGAGCACAGCGGCGUCCCCAAAUGAAAGCCCCCAAAUUGGCAUCCACAUAAGAGGAAGGAGGGUGUGUGUGUGUGUUUCUCAGUCUCCCUCCGACACUCUGACAGCUGUGUCACUUUCACAGGCCUCAUAAUGAGCAUCCCUGUCUCAGCUCUUUCCCCCAACCUCACCCUCGAUCUCUUCUUCGCAUUUCUUCUCCUUCUUCUUCUUCAUUCUGUCUAUCAUUCCCGGUGGCUUGGCCUGAUCUUUGACUGCCACCCCCAUUUUCUUUGCAGGUCCAUCUUCUGCUCUGGUUGGCAGGUAAUUACCAGCCAGGUGACAGCAGCCUGUUCGAGGAGUUGAGAGGUCAUCAGGGUGUGAUCACUUUUUCUUUUUGUUGUACAGACUUUUUCAGGAACUCCUUGUGAGGCAGCGAUAUGUAUUGUUAGUACAGAGCUGUAGCUUCCAUCUUUAUGUUUUUCUAUUGUGAGCGCUGCUCCCAUCUUCAUCCCCCCCAACUAUCUUUGAUCCUGUGACUGAAAGGAGGGUUGUGUAAAGGGCUUGUUUUUUCUGACUUGAACACAGUCAUUACAGGGAAACAGCAGGAUAAUGGUACAAGUUUAAGUGCAUGUGAGGGCAUGAGAAAGAAAAAACUGUACACUAAGUGGAAGAGAAAAAAGGAGAGAGCAGCAUCAAGGAAAAGAUGAAACAAAACCCGGAGACAAAGCGUGUCAACAAUGCGAUAGCGGAUUAAAGUGACAGUUUAAAGUCAGAGGGAAAUGGUUUUUUGAUGGCGUCUUUCUAGUGGAACAGUAGAGGGAGGGACAGCUCAAAAGUAUAAGCAGGUUGGACCGUGACAAACAUUGAAAAAGAUUUGAAAGAAGUGCUUGUAAGUUUCCCUUUUGUUGUAGGAGACUAUUGUUGCCUCUAGCAAUUCUGGCUGGAGAAAGUGAUGCAGAAAAACUUUCUCUAACAUGGAUGAAGUUGUAGGUUUGUACAGAGCAGGAAAAGGUUUCAGGGAAAUCUUCAGAUACCUGUGAUAGAAAUUUUUAGCAGGCCUUGAAAGCCCUUUUUAUUGAUAUUUGGUCACCUUAGAGCAGCUGUCCAACAAAGUUUUAAUAUGUUGGAAAUCAGGCACAUUAACCAUUUAGCAGAGAUUCACAAGAGACGUAUUUUGUUCCCUUGUAGCUCUAUUUUUGGUCUCCGCCACCCCUCAAAGGAAAGUCAAUCUAUUAAGAGGCUAAAUUCUUGGAUAUUUUUACCAUCUACAGUCUGAUUUCGUGCAUUUUCUGCUUUCUUUUAUCAGGUGUGGACAGGUGCCUUAUUACAGGGUUGGAAGUACUUUCUGUUCUCAGAGGUCUCUAAAUUGUGAUUAUGAAGUUUUUAGCCAAAAUCACAUUACAUGUGUCAUUUUCAAGGGCUUUUCUUCUGCAGAGCUUGAGUAGCUCAUCAGCGCUGCUCUGCACACUCCUAUUCACGUUAGCUUGUAGUCUAACAUUGCUGGUGCAGUCGAAGUGGCAGGUAACAUAGGAGCUAUUCAGCUCUCUGACACUAUUGUCUUUAAGGGCAUGAUGAAAGUUUAUAUCAUAAUUAGCUUUCUUACGAGCAUUGCAAUCCGCCAACGCACACGCUUGUUUCAUGAUCAUCCUCUCUACUUUUUCGAGUGUGGCCUGCAUAGUGGGGCUCCGGGGGCGGAGCUUAGAUUUGUUACGAAGGAAAUCUCACUGUAUCUGAGCCUGCCGUUUGGGUCUGCCAGAGAUUCACAGCGCUUUAUAUUCAGAAAUACUCUCAUGAUAUUUUCCUGAAGCAUCAGGAAAAUACCAUAUGAACAUGUAGACAACAAGAAAAACAUAAUUUUUAUCGAAGUCGGUCUCAGAAGUUGUGUUAUAUAAUGAAAGGAAUAACCCCUGUUGUCUUUUAAGGCUAAAUGUAGCACUCACCAUGAAAAUCUACACAGGGAAAAAGUAAUUAUGGCUGUUUCCUCAGUGUACAUAUCCUCUCACAGCCAUUAUAGGUGUCAAAAAUUAUGUUUUAAAGGUUACCAGGCUUGUCAUCAAUGGUCUUUCCUUGUUUUUUCACAUCAUAGAGAUGCAGCUCUGUUCAUUUCAAACAAAUCAAAAACUCCUCACAGGAGCUUUGAUCUAAACAGAAGUAAAUCUGCGGAUGCCUGGAGGCAGAAAUAAAGAGAAACUGGAGACAAUGUUUUAGUGUAAAGGACACCCAAAUACAACUUUUUGCUCAUUAAAUCUAGACCUCCCUAUUGUCAGAUACUGUAUUUAAAUAAAUCUUUAAUAAUCUCUGGCCUGAGGCCUGAUGCCUCUCUGCGCCCUCAUGUCUACAAUGACAUAGAUGUACAACAGUGAGCCGUGUCCUCUACUCUGGCUUCCCGGUCUUUCGUCUUGCUAAGCGGUGUUAAUUGUUGUCUGUGUGAUCUGGUCAUGUUUUGGUUGGCUCAUACCCCUUAUUUAUCUCAUUCACCGAAUUAACACAUUGAAACAGCAUCCUGCGGCUACAUUUGAAGCUCAAAGAGCCAUAAGCCGCCCAUUUAACAUUAGCUUCCCCACACUAAUGGGGACACAGGUGUGAAAUAAAAAAGGGAACAAAGUAGAGCAGCAUUUGGUCUCAUGAUGUGCUCUGUGGUUAAUCAGCCACUUCAUAACAGCUUUUGUCUGUCAUUACCUCAAACUCAAACAUUUAGAGAAAACUGGGGUGUACCGUUAUAUGUAUAAAUCUUAUGGUUUGAUGAAAAGAUCUGACUUAAUCUCAAAGAUGUGAAGGAAGUAGAUCCUUCCCAGAGCUAAUGCUUGUUGAAGCUAAAGCUAAUAUUUUUGUACAGUUGGUGUUUUACCUGGAUACCUGUAUUGAGCUCAACUAUCAGGAGCUAGUAUGGUAGCAGAAGGAGAUGGUACAGGAGAGGGCUUCACAGCUUCACAGAAAAUGCAUGUUGUUGAUUUUCUUAAAAGCAAUUUAAAGGCAUGGUUGACGAUUGAAGAGAUUGGUAAUUAUUAUGAACCUUGUUUCUAUGGCGAUCAUGGUCCUAUAGUGCGAUCUCCACAAAGUGAAGAGAAAAAAGAAUGGCAAAAAUCUGUUCACCCUAGCAGCUGCAGGGCUGUAAAAACAUUGACCAAUGGGAGCCAUCUGUCCCGGACAGCUCCUAUUGGUCGAUCUCCUGCUCCACCUCUCCGUCCAAUCACUUUGCGGUAUUCGACACACUUCUCUCCCGUUGUUCUGGCACGUCUCCUCCCACUCUCCAGGCCCUCCUUGGAGCUCUGAGCGGCUUAAAGUAGCGUAGCAGCUUAGCUACAGGAGCUGUGAUGGAGAAGGAAGCAAAUAAACACUUCUGCUUGCCCCACCGCCAAAUGCUAAGAAAACGCAAACCGACAAAAGAGAGGGCAUAGUCAAAGAGGAAAUGUGACCAAGCGAUGAAUCUAACUUGAAUAAACAUCGGGUCAUCCUUCGAGCGGUGGAGAAAGCUCCGCCAGGAUUUGGGCCUGAAAACAGAUGCCGAGACAGCAGAGUUUUUGUUGAACAGGUAAUUUUUGCCUUUGAUCGUGGCGUAUUUUACAUAAACAACUCUUAUUAGUCUCUGCAAUGUCAACACAGUAGCUGUCCAGGCAGCUGCAGACGGUGCUCGCUUUCAGAGCUGGCGUUUACUGCUGCUAGUCACUAGCGAUCCAACAUGGUGAAUCCUAUUUGAAGCAAGCGCAGGAUCUUCUGACGGCCGGCUUCUUGCUCUGCCAGAGGGGGGUGUGUUGUGGGGAGGGCGAUACAGGUUUGGGGGGGAAGUUACCAUGGAGCACAGAGAGGAGAGGUUUGUGUGUGGGGGUUGGGACGCUUUUUUCAAAAUCUGCCUCAAUGGCUCAGUUUUUUUUUUCAACUGCUUCUCCAAUCGUCAACCAUGCCUUUAAGUCUUUGUGUAGGAGGAUGACUUCAACCCUUUUUGCUGGGGGACAACCUCAAAAACUGAUCUACAGUGGUGCAGCUCCUUUUCCUGAUUAUGUGACACAUGCACUCCCUCACUAGUAAUGGGAUCUGUUUGAAACAGUUAGGGACCAAGUUCACCAUAACGUGUAUUUCUUAGCUUCUGAAUCUUAUUUCUACGUUUGGUUUGGUUGUACAAACAGAUGAACUUCUAGAGAAAGACUCAGCUGUUCCUGUGAGGUUGCAAAAGGUAAAUUUAAAUCACAUCCUAAGAGAAGCCACCACGCCUGUCAGAGUGACUCCACUGUGAUAUUUUCAGAGCGAUAUGAACAAGCUGUGUCUCUUCCUCCUGCUCAGCAUACUGUUAUUGCACACUUAGACCUUGGUUAUAUAAGACUCAGUAGCCUUUAUUUAGCCAGAGAAGGCUUUCAUUUGAGGUGCAGCAUAAAUGAUGCAGGGCUCUGAAUGACGCACGCAGACACAAAAGCAACGGAAAGGUUUCCCACUGUGGCCACCAUUCUGGGCAAAAACAUCGCCACCAUGCUGGCAACAAGGCUGAGUCACAAACUGGACGCCGUGUAUGACGUCUGCACCUCAACUUAAAGUCUGCGGCUGUAGGCUCCUCCCAGGAAGAAGAACAUCUAAGUAAACUCUCAUAUUUAGAUGCAACUCUGUAAUUCAAGAGUCAGUCGUUGAUGCGUUUAAAGAAAGAGAGGAGCGAUGCACUUUCUAAAUAAGUAAAAAGUUUCUAUUUGAGCUUCGCUUUGAUGCUCCCAACAAGCUUUAAAGACAGUCAGGAGGGUGUGGUUGGAGUCUCGGCAUCCACUUCCUCAGACCAACACCACAGAACAUUCUGGAAACUGCUGACUGUCUGUUCCUGCCCACAACCACAACGCCAUGUACAACCAUCAUCUAGCAACAAGACAGUGUCUUCUUGCACCAGCUAACCCUAAUACCUACUCUGACAGCGCAAUUAUCACAUCCACAUGACAGUUGUCUUCCUGCUAUAACACUAGAUUUGAAAAUGGAACAUGCACCGUCCUCUUCAGUUGCAUCUGCAUGUUACAGACAACUGAGAGAGAACGUGGCUUUCAUUGGAAAACACCCCCUGUCCUGAUUGAUAUGCAACAACUGUCCUCAUAUAGGCUGCCUGCUAUUACUGCUGCUGGACUGGGAGAGAAAAAAAAAAGGCAGAAAGGCACAGAGACUCAGAUGAAAAGCCCACAGCUUACUCUGUGAUCCAGCGUCUCUUUUUUUGUGCCCAGAGAAAACAGGACUGAGCUGUUUUCUAAGCUCAACAGACCUGCAGAUGUGUUGCUAAUUUCCUGUUUAUUAAACCGGUUUAAUUGAUCCUUCAGCGUUGCUCAGGAUUAACAUCAGUUUUCUUCCUACUAUGAGAUAUGAAAGGUUAAGCCCCAGAGUACGAUUGUGUUUGACUCGAGUCUUUGAUCUGUGGCGUAUAGAGGAAAAUUCAUCCCUUGUGAUGCAAGACACAGAAAUAAAGUCGUCACUGUGUUUGUAUGACGGAUUCUCGUUUGUUGUCCUGUGCUAAAGGUCAGUGCUUUUCUGCUGAGCCAGGCUCAAAAAAAUCAGGACGUAUGCCCCAGUGAGCAGACUUCACAAGGCUUGUCAGAUGUUUUUUAUGGCUUUCAGCUCACACACACUCACUGUUGCCGCCAGAUUCAGUCAACCCUCAUGUUGCAUUACCUAUAGCGGGGCGGCUCGAGCCAUGACUUAGCUCAUUAGACAGAGACAAAAGAGGGCCUGACAGUUUACAUAACCACAGCAGAUAUGUGCCCUGUAGGCAUAAUCAACAACAGCAAAACAUCUCCUUAAUUAAAAAUCAUUAACUUGAUGCAUUUGCGAUUAACACCACCAAUUAAUUACACGCAGAGCUAAUGUCUCAUAAAUAAUGGAAAGCAGAGUAGAAGGAUGAAAGGAUGGAUGGAUUUGUUCAGGGUAGCAAGAGAGGGAAAGAACAGAUGGAUGAUCCUUUCGCUCGUUUUGCUGCGUCGCUUCACGUCCCGUCCCCCCGCCCAGACCACUAAACUGCACUAAUGGGCUUCUGGUGUCAGUGGUCCAGCAUUAAUGGCGACACUUUUGUUUAGGAGGACAAAUGAAUGUGUCUGAACCGCUGCUGGAGCCAUCUGUUGACAGGGGUCCACAUCCACUGAGGCUGCGUCGGCCACUGCAAGGGAAUGAGGCCCUUAAGUCUAGCAUUGCUAAUUUCAUUAAGUGUGUAAGAGGCCACAAGAGUCUGCAAAUACACUCCACAUCUGUAUGUUUGUUGUUUAAACAGGAUGAAGUGUUUUUGAGUCACAGAGGCAGAUGGUCAAUGCUUGGGCCCAGUUCUGGAUUUGAAGUGCUGCUACUACAUCUAAGUCACAGGGUACGGCACCGAAGUUUCAGGGUGAAAACAGCCAUCUGGAGAUACCCAAAAGCUAAUUGACGAGGAGACAUUUAUGAAGUCAUGACUCUACAUAUGUCACAAUGAUUUUCAUAAUUUUCAUGACUGAACUGUUGACCUUUUGGUAGAUAUUGUUGGACCUCAUUUUGCAAAAUGUAGAGUUAUAUUUACAACUUAAUCACAGAUAUUCCAAUCAGCCUGUAAUAGACUGUAAAUACUAUGGACAACUUGGUUCUGCCUCCCGCCUGCAUACGGAUUUGAAGCCAAAAAGCUCUCUGUAAUUCUGCGUUUUUUCUCCACUUCCUGAAACCAACAAUGCGCGGAAGCGUUGUACGCACUCCACCACUUGAGCAGUACCAUUGGACGCUUUUCGCAGGAAAGUCGCUGUGAUGACACUCGGCUCAAACAGCGUAUCCCCCGGGUGAGCUAUGCAAUCUUCAUACGCCCAUAGGCUGUAUCAAGUGUCAAUCAUAAAAAACAUGAACCCCCUAAUAACUUUUAAAAAUGGAGCUGCACAGAAAAAAAGAGGACCUGAGCACAAACCAGUCUUACAGUAACUAUAUAACAUCGCAAGCAGGGGGAAAAAAAUGUAUGUUCUGUGUAAUAAAUUUCUAAAGUUUGUCCACAACUCCAUAAGGAUUGCUGGCGGAGGCGGGAUUUAUGACCUAUACUGCAGCCCAUCACCAGAGGGUGCUGUUCUGGGGGUGGCUUCACCCAGCGAGGAGGCAGAUACUGUCCAUUCUUUAUACAGUCUAUGGUUACAAUGCAAUAUGCAGUGAUCAUGGUGAGUAAAAUAUAAAAUGUAAAGCAUUAUUCUUAACGAUCAACAUGCUAGUAUGGAUCUGAUGUGCUAACAAUAGCUGUUAGCUCUUUGAUUAUAGAGUUUGAAAUACUGGAUUUCUAGUUUUCAUGAAUUAUAAGCCAAAACUCUCUGUUUGGAAAAGCUUCAAAACCUAUUUGAAUUGUUCAGAAGACUUAACAUUUGUGCCUCCAAACAAUUUGAAGUCUUUUUGAAAGGGAUAUUAAACAAGAACUUUUUUUCAGAACAUGCUCUGCCAUUUAUUAUUUGAUGUGGAAUACAUUACAGCCAAAAGUUGGUGAUGCAGAUUUUAUUAACAGAGACAAAAAAAACAUCCUUCAAAUUGUGGAUGGGUUUCACAUCUGACGCUGACUUUUAUUUUUUAUUCAUUCUUUUUAACACGCCAAGCAUCACCUCUGUAAUUUCUCUUUUUCUCACUCUGUAGAAAUAUCCUCUCCCUCUCUGUCCCUGAUUCCCCUCUCUCUGUCUUGUUUCUACCUCCCCACUGUUCCCCACUCCCUGUCUGUAGCAGCAAUAAUGAAAAAUAGCUCUCCUUCAUAUCUUUGAGUAUAUCUUAAAAAAUAAAAAAAAACCUCCCAAGGCUCCCGUCCAAGUUGGAAGCAUUUCUUUUGAUAUACUGCAGAACAAUUUCAUGCCCAAUUCAUUUAUUCCCGAGGUACUUUAAUUGUGAACUAUUUCCAGACCCACUGUAAAUUUCUUACCAUCUAAUGUUGUAAAAGUGGUUCCAGCAAUUCUUCUCAAAGUGUAGGGUUUGCAUUAGAAAUUCUAUGCUCUGUGAGCGCUUUAUUACACAAUCUUAAUUACAGAUGUUCAAUUGAUACCAUCUCUGACUGGACAAGUGCUGAAAAUAUAAAAUAUUCAUGGAAUCUGAAAACGUUUGUACUAAUGAGUCACAGCUAGACCUCAAAAACUCAUCCAUUUCCUCAUGCUCUGUGAAGCAGAAAAAACAAGUUAUGCGUGUUCUGCUUUAUAGUGUUCUGUUAAAUUAAGGUACAGCUGACUCUAGCCUUUCUGUGUAAACAAAUAAAGCAUCUCAGAAUCUGUCCUUGGCUCACCAGCCAAAAGCCUGAUCUGUAACAUCCCCAUUCUGUUCUUGGGUUAUUCCACAAUAAACUUAUUAUACCAUAACCCAACAGUAUAAGUAGUAGGCUGCACUAAAGCUACCACAAACCACUUCCUCU